UUCCGGUUGAUCCUGCCAGACCUGACUGCUAUCGGAUUGAUACUAAGCCAUGCGAGUCAUUGUAGCAAUACAAGGCAGACGGCUCAGUAACGCGUAGUCAACCUAACCUAUGGACGGGAAUAACCUCGGGAAACUGAGAAUAAUGCCCGAUAGAACACUAUAUCUGGAAUGGUUUGUGUUCCAAAUGAUUUAUCGCCGUAGGAUGGGACUGCGGCCUAUCAGUUUGUUGGUGAGGUAAUGGCCCACCAAGACUAUUACAGGUACGGGCUCUGAGAGGAGUAGCCCGGAGAUGGGUACUGAGACACGGACCCAGGCCCUAUGGGGCGCAGCAGGCGAGAAAACUUUGCAAUGUGCGAAAGCACGACAAGGUUAAUCCGAGUGGUUUGUGCUAAACGAACCUUUUGUCGGUCCUAGAAACACCGAUGAAUAAGGGGUGGGCAAGUUCUGGUGUCAGCCGCCGCGGUAAAACCAGCACCUCAAGUGGUCAGGAUGAUUAUUGGGCCUAAAGCAUCCGUAGCCGGCGCUAUAAGUUUUCGGUUAAAUCUGUACGCUCAACGUACAGGCUGCCGGGAAUACUGUAGCGCUAGGGAGUGGGAGAGGUAGACGGUACUCGGUAGGAAGGGGUAAAAUCCUUUGAUCUAUUGAUGACCACCUGUGGCGAAGGCGGUCUACCAGAACACGUCCGACGGUGAGGGAUGAAAGCUGGGGGAGCAAACCGGAUUAGAUACCCGGGUAGUCCCAGCUGUAAACUAUGCAAACUCAGUGAUGCAUUGGCUUGUGGCCAAUGCAGUGCUGCAGGGAAGCCGUUAAGUUUGCCGCCUGGGAAGUACGUACGCAAGUAUGAAACUUAAAGGAAUUGGCGGGGGAGCACCACAAGGGGUGAAGCCUGCGGUUCAAUUGGAGUCAACGCCGGA
rnacentral:rRNA from 2 species